AGUUCAGCGGGUAUCCCUACCUGAUCCGAGGUCAAAAGUUGAAAAAAGGCUUAAUGGAUGCUAGACCUUUGCUGAUAGAGAGUGCGACUUGUGCUGCGCUCCGAAACCAGUAGGCCGGCUGCCAAUUACUUUAAGGCGAGUCUCCAGCAAAGCUAGAGACAAGACGCCCAACACCAAGCAAAGCUUGAGGGUACAAAUGACGCUCGAACAGGCAUGCCCUUUGGAAUACCAAAGGGCGCAAUGUGCGUUCAAAGAUUCGAUGAUUCACUGAAUUCUGCAAUUCACACUACUUAUCGCAUUUCGCUGCGUUCUUCAUCGAUGCCAGAACCAAGAGAUCCGUUGUUGAAAGUUGUAAUUAUUAAUUUGUUACUGACGCUGAUUGCAAUUACAAAAGGUUUAUGUUUGUCCUAGUGGUGGGCGAACCCACCAAGGAAACAAGAAGUACGCAAAAGACAAGGGUGAAUAAUUCAGCAAGGCUGUAACCCCGAGAGGUUCCAGCCCGCCUUCAUAUUUGUGUAAUGAUCCCUCCGCAGGUUCACCUACGGAGA
rnacentral:misc_RNA from 1 species